CACCAGGUUCCUCAAGCCUAGCUUCCGUGUCAUUGCUGUUAAUUCUUUCCCUUUGUUUCUGUUCCCAGUUCCCACAACCAACAGGAAGAUCCUCCCCCGACCACACUGGCUAUGCUCUUGUGACAAACGGAAAUGCACCCUUCUUGGUUCCUCUUGACAUUGCUCCUUCAGGAGGCUGGGUAGAGAGAAGGAGGACUUCCCCCUUGAAGAAUCCUCAUCCACUGAGAAGUCCCAGCAAGAAGACAGGAGCCUCGUGUUGCCUUUCCCUCCCUGUCCCCCUGCCCAACCCCAAUACACACCUGUUUUACUGUGGCCCUCUAUGUUACUGCCUCUCCUGCCUCUCCCUGCUGCCCCCAACCCCAGGUCUGUCACUGAGAUGCUUGUGUCUCCUUUGUUGAGAAGCAAGGUGGGGUGGAGGGUGGGAAAAUGGGGCUUUUCUUUCUGCACAAAACCAGCAAUUGUAAAUACUUUUCAAAAAUAUAUGGAAAAAAUGAAAAAAAAAAUACAAAAGAGCAAACACAAUGAAAACACACGAACACACACACACACACAGAGCGCGUUUUCAAAAUCAGAAAUAUAUAUUGAGAGGAGAAGAAGAAGAAAAAAAGGAGUCCAGAGAGAGUCAAAGCAGGAGAGAAGCUAAUUGUGUCAGAUAUGCACUGAGAAAUCUAUUUGCAGAUUGAUUGACAAAAAGUAACAAGAAGCUAUUUAUUGUAUAUAAUGUUUUAUUAUAAAUCGUGUAUUGUAUAUUGCAUCUGUACAUCUGCUGUGGUUUUGUGAUGUGCAAAUUUCAGCAUGGGUUUCCUUGAGGUUUUAAGUUGCUUUUUUAUUGUUUGUUGGGGGGGCGGGAUUUUUAUUUUUUUGUUUUGUUUUGUUUUGUUUUUUGGCAGUACGCACCCAAAGAUCCAAAUUUGUAUUUUAAAAAGAAAAGGGGGGGGGGAGAUUAAAGACAAACAAAUGCACCCUCUUUUGUUAGGGAGAGGGAGGGGAGCAACGGCAUUUUCUGAGUUCUCAUUGGCCACUUGUAAACCGUAUUUCUUCCAUGUGUGCCCCGUUGCGCCAGUGCUGAGCUCAGGGUGUAUGUGUGUGUGUGCGUGUGAGCGAGUGACUUCUUUUUCCACCUUUGUCCUGCCCUCUCUAUUCCCUCCUUUUCCUGGAUUUGGAAACUUAUGUACAGCUUUGUGGAUUGUGCAAAAACAAAAAAAGAAAGAAACUUAAAAAAAGAGGAAGACCCCCACCCCUGUUCUGUGUUACCCAUUACUGAUCUGAACUGUACGACUCAAUAUACCAGACUUGGUAGUCGACUGGAGACAGAACACACCUGAUUUGUCACCAUAUAAGCUCCUGCUUGCUUGAUUCCUUCCCCAGGCCACGUUGCCUUCAUCCACACCACCCCUCAAAGCCCCUCUUUUUAUUUUGCUUCCCCUCCCCCCUCCCUGUGCCCCAACUGGUCUUUUUGUGUAUUUAGGAAGGAA